CGUGCCGUGAGGUGUUGGGUUAAGUCCCGCAACGAGCGCAACCCUCGCCGUCAGUUGUAUUUUUCUGACGGGACCGCUGGGAUAAACCCAGAGGAAGGUGGGGAUGACGUCAAGUCAGCAUGGCCCUUACGUCCUGGGCUACACACACGCUACAAUGGCCGGUACAAUGGGUUGCCAAGGCGCGAGCCGGAGCUAAUCCCCCAAAGCCGGCCCCAGUUCAGAUUGCAGGCUGCAACUCGCCUGCAUGAAGGCGGAGUCGCUAGUGACCGUAGGUCAGCACACUACGGUGAAUACGUUCCCGGGCCUU
rnacentral:rRNA from 1 species